rnacentral:rRNA from 1 species
GUGGCCAACUACCCAACAGACCGUGAUAACCUCGGGAAACUGAGGCUAAUAACGGAUAGUGCUCCCGAGCUGGAAUGCUGGGAGCGCGAAAGCUCCGGCGCUGUUGGAUGUGGCUGCGGCCGAUUAGGUAGACGGUGGGGUAACGGCCCACCGUGCCGAUAAUCGGUACGGGUUGUGAGAGCAAGAGCCCGGAGACGGACUCUGAGACAAGAGUCCGGGCCCUACGGGGCGCAGCAGGCGCGAAACCUUUACACUGUACGCAAGUACGAUAGGGGGACACCGAGUGCGAGGGCAUAGAGCCCUCGCUUUUGUACACCGUAAGGUGGUGCACGAAUAAGGGCUGGGCAAGACCGGUGCCAGCCGCCGCGGUAACACCGGCAGCCCAAGUGAUGGCCGCUAUUAUUGGGCCUAAAGCGUCCGUAGCUGGCCGUUCAGGUCCGUCGGGAAAUCCACUGGCUUAACCAGUGGGCGUCCGGCGGAAACCGUUCGGCUUGGAACAGGGAGACCAGAGGGGUACGUCCGGGGUAGGAGUGAAAUCCCGUAAUCCUGGACGGACCAUCGGUGGCGAAAGCGCCUCUGGAGAACUGAUUCGACAGUGAGGGACGAAAGCUGGGGUCUCGAACCGGAUUAGAUACCCGGGUAGUCCCAGCCGUAAACGAUGCUCGCUAGGUGGUGUCGCAGGCUACGAGCCUGCGAUGUGCCGUAGGG